rnacentral:rRNA from 1 species
AGAGAUCAUGGCUCAGGAUGAACGCUAGCGGCAGGCCUAAUACAUGCAAGUCGAACGGGAAUAAGUAGCAAUACUUAUUCUAGUGGCGCACGGGUGCGUAACGCGUAUGCAACCUACCUUUUAUUGGGGGAUAGCCCGAAGAAAUUCGGAUUAAUACCGCAUAAUAUCCUUUGAUGGCAUCUGAAGAGGAUUAAAGCUACGGCGAUAAAAGAUGGGCAUGCGUGACAUUAGCUAGUUGGUUGAGGUAAUGGCUCACCAAGGCUACGAUGUCUAGGGGUUCUGAGAGGAUGAUCCCCCACACUGGUACUGAGAUACGGACCAGACUCCUACGGGAGGCAGCAGUAGGGAAUAUUGGGCAAUGGACGCAAGUCUGACCCAGCCAUGCCGCGUGCAGGAUGAAGGCCUUCUGGGUUGUAAACUGCUUUUAUCUAGGAAGAAAAAACUCUUGCGAGAGGAACUGACGGUACUAGAUGAAUAAGCACCGGCUAACUCCGUGCCAGCAGCCGCGGUAAUACGGAGGGUGCAAGCGUUGUCCGGAUUUAUUGGGUUUAAAGGGUGCGUAGGCGGCCUAUUAAGUCAGUGGUGAAAGCCAACAGCUCAACUGUUGAACUGCCAUUGAUACUGAUAGGCUUGAGUACAGACGAGGUAGGCGGAAUUGAUGCUGUAGCGGUGAAAUGCAUAGAUAGCAUCAAGAACACCGAUUGCGUAGGCAGCUUACUAGGCUGUAACUGACGCUGAGGCACGAAAGCGUGGGGAGCGAACAGGAUUAGAUACCCUGGUAGUCCACGCUGUAAACGAUGAUUACUCGAUGUUGGCGAUAAACAGUCAGCGUCUUAGCGAAAGCGUUAAGUAAUCAACCUGGGGAGUACGCCCGCAGGGUGAAACUCAAGGGAUUGACGGGGG